GUUGUGCCUGCUAGUAGUCAGGGACCCGCCCAGGGACACGAAGACGGUAGAAUCACCGUUCACCACCAGUCCACCACCAACUCACUCGAUGGAAAUAGAAUUGCCACCACCUGUUCCUGUCCCGAAAGAUCCACCUAAAAUUCAUCGUCUUGAUGAGUCAGUGGUUAAUAGAAUCGCAGCUGGAGAAGUCAUUCAACGGCCCGUAUCGGCGGUGAAAGAGCUGGUGGAGAAUAGUCUGGAUGCCCACUCUACCUCUAUUAAUGUCAUUGUCAAGGACGGUGGCCUCAAGCUCAUACAAGUGUCCGAUGACGGUCAUGGCAUUCGAUAUGAGGACUUGCCUAUACUAUGUGAGAGACACACCACGUCGAAGCUGUCAGCUUAUGAGGAUUUGCAGUCGAUAAAAUCUAUGGGGUUUAGGGGAGAAGCGUUGGCUAGCAUGACUUAUGUUGCUCAUGUUACUGUCACCACAAUUACUGAAGGUCAGUUGCAUGGCUACAGGGUAUCUUAUAGAGAUGGCGCCAUGGAGAACCAACCAAAGGCGUGUGCUGCUGUGAAAGGGACUCAAAUAAUGGUGGAGAACUUGUUCUAUAACAUGAUUGCUCGGAGGAAGACACUCCAAAAUUCUGCUGAUGAUUAUUCAAAAAUUGUAGACUUGCUAAGCCGAUUUGCCAUUCAUCACACCAAUGUUAGCUUUUCUUGCAGAAAGCAUGGAGCCGCUAGAGCAGAUGUACACUCGGUCGUCACAUCAUCAAGGCUGGAUUCUAUUAGAUCUGUUUAUGGGGUCUCUGUAGCUCGGAAUGUAAUGAAAAUAGAAGUUUCAGAUAGCAAUCCCUCUAGUUCAGUUUUUGAUAUGAACGGAUUCAUCUCAGAUGCUAAUUAUACUGCAAAGAAAACAACAAUGGUGCUUUUUAUCAAUGAUAGACUGGUGGAAUGCACUGGUUUGAAGAGAGCUAUUGAAAUUGUUUAUGCUGCUACCUUACCCAAAGCAUCAAAACCAUUUGUAUACAUGUCAAUUGUGUUGCCACCUGAGCAUGUUGAUGUGAAUGUGCAUCCAACAAAGAGAGAGGUAAGUCUUCUGAAUCAGGAAAUUAUUGUUGAGAAGAUACAAUUGGCUGUGGAAUCAAAGUUGAGGAGCUCAAAUGAGGCAAAAACUUUUCAUGAGCAGACAGUGGAUACUUCACCAAGCUGCCCUUUGGGUAUGAGCAAGGAUUUGAAUGUUGAUUCCGCACCCUCUGGGUCAAAACCGCAAAAAAUUCCUGUGAAUAAAAUGGUAAGAACUGAUGUAUCAGAUCCAGCUGGAAGGUUGCAUGCCUACUUUGAGGCCAAGCCUCGGCAUCGUCUUGAAAAUAAUUCUUCCUUGACUGCUGUAAGGUCUUCAAUUAGGCAAAGAAGGAACCCAAAGGAAACCGCUGAUCUGACUAGCAUUCAGGAGCUUAUUAAUGAUGUUGAACACAAUUGUCAUUCAGGUCUGCUGGACAUUGUACGGCAAUGCACAUAUAUUGGAAUGGCAGAUGAUAUUUUUGUGGUGCUGCAGCAUAAUACUCAUCUGUAUCUUGCAAAUGUGGUAAACUUGAGCAAAGAGCUUAUGUACCAACAAGUUCUUCGCCGUUUUGCACAUUUUAAUGCUAUACAACUAAGUGAUCCGGCCCCCACGAAAGAGCUCAUUAUGUUGGCUUUGAAAGAGGAAGACUGGGAUCCUGAAUCCAAUGAAAAUGAUGACCUGAAAGAAAAGAUUGCAGAGAUGAAUACCGAGUUGCUCAAGGAAAAAGCUGAACUGCUGGAGGAGUACUUUGGUAUUUAUGUUGGUUCACAUGGAAAUUUGUCUAGGCUUCCUGUUAUACUAGACCAGCACAUGCCUGAUAUGGAUCGGAUUCCUGAAUUUGUGCUAUGUUUGGGCAAUGAUGUUGAUUGGGAAGAUGAAAAGAACUGCUUUCAAGCAAUUGCAGCUGCUCUUGGAAAUUUUUAUGCCAUGCAUCCCCCUCUACUGCCCAAUCCAUCAGGUGAUAGUUUGCAAUUUUACAAAAGGAGAAAAUGUGUAAAUAAUCUUGAAGGUCUAGAAGUUGCUAUCGAUACAGAAAACAAUUAGCUUCAAACUCAGGAGUAUGAACUAUGAAUUAUCAUUAAAGAAGAAAACUGGGAGGGGGGAAAUUACUACUGUGGUUGAUGAGAAAAGUAUUUGAAUCAAGUAAAAUGGUUGGUGAUGCUCCAACUGAGGAUGAAAUUGAGCUUGAACUGCUCUCAGAGGCAGAGACUGCAUGGGCUCAACGUGAAUGGUCAAUUCAGCAUGUGUUGUUUCCUGCCUUGAGACUCUUUUUCAAACCACCAACUUCAAUGGCUACAAAUGGAACAUUUGUUCAGGUUGCUUCACUGGAGAAGCUUUAUAAGAUUUUCGAGAGAUGCUAACUGAAAAUGGUUCUCUUCAAAACCAAUCAUAUAAUCUUAGAUUAGGUCUUUUUUUUUUUGGUGGUCUCCUGCCCGAGUUUUUGCAGUCCCUUUCGCGGUCAAACAGGAGCUUAUAUAUAUAUACAAAUUAGUUGUGUAUAUUUUCCGUAAAAAUAGAUGUCCAAUUGCUUUUAGUUCACGGAUGCUUCAUCAAACCAAAUCUCUCCCUUGCAUGUGUAA